rnacentral:rRNA from 1 species
UACGUAGGGCGCAAGCGUUGUCCGGAAUUAUUGGGCGUAAAGAGCUCGUAGGCGGCUUGUCACGUCGGGUGUGAAAGCCCGGGGCUUAACCCCCGGGUCUGCAUUCGAUACGGGCAGGCUAGAGUGUGGUAGGGGAGAUCGGAAUUCCUGGUGUAGCGGUGAAAUGCGCAGAUAUCAGGAGGAACACCGGUGGCGAAGGCGGCUACCUGGACCGGUUCUGACGCUGAGGCGCGAAAGCGUGGGUAGCAAACAGG